rnacentral:rRNA from 1 species
GAUGAACGCUAGCUACAGGCUUAACACAUGCAAGUCGAGGGGUAGCAUGGUCUUAGCUUGCUAAGGCCGAUGGCGACCGGCGCACGGGUGAGUAACACGUAUCCAACCUGCCGUCUACUCUUGGACAGCCUUCUGAAAGGAAGAUUAAUACAAGAUGGCAUCAUGAGUCCGCAUGUUCACAUGAUUAAAGGUAUUCCGGUAGACGAUGGGGAUGCGUUCCAUUAGAUAGUAGGCGGGGUAACGGCCCACCUAGUCUUCGAUGGAUAGGGGUUCUGAGAGGAAGGUCCCCCACAUUGGAACUGAGACACGGUCCAAACUCCUACGGGAGGCAGCAGUGAGGAAUAUUGGUCAAUGGGCGAGAGCCUGAACCAGCCAAGUAGCGUGAAGGAUGACUGCCCUAUGGGUUGUAAACUUCUUUUAUAAAGGAAUAAAGUCGGGUAUGCAUACCCGUUUGCAUGUACUUUAUGAAUAAGGAUCGGCUAACUCCGUGCCAGCAGCCGCGGUAAUACGGAGGAUCCGAGCGUUAUCCGGAUUUAUUGGGUUUAAAGGGAGCGUAGAUGGAUGUUUAAGUCAGUUGUGAAAGUUUGCGGCUCAACCGUAAAAUUGCAGUUGAUACUGGAUAUCUUGAGUGCAGUUGAGGCAGGCGGAAUUCGUGGUGUAGCGGUGAAAUGCUUAGAUAUCACGAAGAACUCCGAUUGGGAAGGCAGCCUGCUAAGCUGCAACUGACAUUGAGGCUCGAAAGUGGGGGUAUCAAACAGGAUUAGAUACCCUGGUAGUCCACACGGUAAACGAUGAAUACUCGCUGUUUGCGAUAUACAGCAAGCGGCCAAGCGAAAGCGUUAAGUAUUCCACCUGGGGAGUACGCCGGCAACGGUGAAACUCAAAGGAAUUGACGGGGGCCCGCACAAGCGGAGGAACAUGUGGUUUAAUUCGAUGAUACGCGAGGAACCUUACCCGGGCUUAAAUUGCAGAUGAAUUACGGUGAAAGCCGUAAGCCGCAAGGCAUCUGUGAAGGUGCUGCAUGGUUGUCGUCAGCUCGUGCCGUGAGGUGUCGGCUUAAGUGCCAUAACGAGCGCAACCCUUGUUGUCAGUUACUAACAGGUUCCGCUGAGGACUCUGACAAGACUGCCAUCGUAAGAUGUGAGGAAGGUGGGGAUGACGUCAAAUCAGCACGGCCCUUACGUCCGGGGCUACACACGUGUUACAAUGGGGGGUACAGAGGGCCGCUACCACGCGAGUGGAUGCCAAUCCCAAAAACCUCUCUCAGUUCGGACUGGAGUCUGCAACCCGACUCCACGAAGCUGGAUUCGCUAGUAAUCGCGCAUCAGCCACGGCGCGGUGAAUACGUUCCCGGGCCUUGUACACACCGCCCGUCAAGCCAUGGGAGCCGGGGGUACCUGAAGUGCGUAACCGCGAGGAGCGCCCUAGGG